UCACAAUAAGUACAGCUUGAAAUCAUGUCAAUGUGGUGCGUUUUUUUUUCCCCCACAGGAAAAGAAAAGGAUGCAAACUAUGCAACGGUUUCCGAAGAAAAGUUAAAAUCAUCCGGCACACCUCAGUCAUCUGCUGCUCAAAACCAGGAUACCGUCAAAUCUCACGACUCCCCGAUUCCUCCAGACACCCUCCUCUAUUCCACUGUCAGCCACAUAAACCACAUGGACAGAAGCCAGGUCUCUAAUCAGCCUAAAAACGUGACGUACUCCACCAUUGUCUUCACAGAUGAAUCAGCAGUGUACUGCAAUGUCUGAACACAGUACACAUCACCAGUCUGCUGCAGUCUCAUGUCAAAGCUACGAUUGUGUAUUCUAUGUUUGAUCAAAUAACUUAGCCCCACAUACUUUAAUAUAUCAUGAAAUAAGCAAAGUAUUUGCCUGUUGUCCUUUUGCUGUUAUUUUUACCACCUCUGUUACUUCUGUUUCAAUUUCUGAUUCACAUCAGGAGUCACAUCCUUAUUUUAAAAACACGAUGCAAAUAUUUUAAGCUGGGUGCAUAAAAGACAAGCGGUACAUGUUUUCAUACGGAUUUGUGAUGAGAGAGAAUAUAACAGAUCGUAACACCUUUUAUGUAGUGCCACAUAUGACAGAGUGCAUAGCUAUUUAUUGAUUCAAAAACAAGAAUUGGAUCAACCAAAUCAUAAAAGGAAUGGCAAGAACAUUAAAAGUUUCCAUUGACAUCAUGACAGCCACGGUGCUUCUAUUGACAGUGACAGGAGGCAAAAGUGGUUCUCAAGCAAUCGGUGAUACACACUGGGAAGACUUGAAAGCAACAGUAAUAUCCAAACAGGUUGGAGAAUCUGUCCAAAUCCAGUGCCCCUUCCCAAGCAGCCAUGACAAGGAUGAUCAAUUCUUGUGCAAAGGAGAUAACCCUCUCAGUUGCAAGAGAAUGAUGGAGAAAACCAAAGUGUUGACAGUAAAUGAAAGAAAAAAAUAUUUUUCGGUGUACAUCAGUGACCUGGGCAAAGAAGACUCUGGAACAUAUUGGUGUAUCUUUAAGACAAACAGGAACCAAAGUGAAUACACCAAAGUGCUACUUCAUGUUGGUGAGUAGAAGUGACACAUU